rnacentral:rRNA from 1 species
CCUACGGGGGGCAGCAGUGAGGAAUAUUGGUCAAUGGACGAGAGUCUGAACCAGCCAAGUAGCGUGAAGGAUGACUGCCCUAUGGGUUGUAAACUUCUUUUAUAUGGGAAUAAAAUGUUCCACGUGUGGGAUUUUGUAUGUACCCUAUGAAUAAGGAUCGGCUAACUCCGUGCCAGCAGCCGCGGUAAUACGGUGGAUCCGAGCGUUAUCCGGAUUUAGUGGGUUUAAAGGGAGAGUAGGUGGAGUGUUAAGUCAGUUGUGAAAGUUUGCGGCUCAACCGUAAAAUUGCAGUUGAAACUGGCAGUCUUAAGUACAGUAGAGGUGGGCGGAAUUCGUGGUGUAGCGGUGAAAUGCUUAGAUAUCACGAAGAACUCCGAUUGCGAAGGCAGCUCACUGGACUGCAACGGACACUGAGGCUCGAAAGUGUGGGUAUCAAACAGGAUUAGAUACCCCUGUAGUC